rnacentral:rRNA from 1 species
UAAAGAAAGCGUAAUAGCUCACUGGUCGAGUCGGCCUGCGCGGAAGAUGUAACGGGGCUAAACCAUGCACCGAAGCUGCGGCAGCGACACUGUGUGUUGUUGGGUAGGGGAGCGUUCUGUAAGCCUGCGAAGGUGGCCUGUGAGGGUUGCUGGAGGUAUCAGAAGUGCGAAUGCUGACAUAAGUACCGAUAAAGCGGGUGAAAAGCCCGCUCGCCGGAAGA